GGUUAAGCGACUAAGCGUACACGGUGGAUGCCCUGGCAGUCAGAGGCGAUGAAGGACGUGCUAAUCUGCGAUAAGCGUCGGUAAGGUGAUAUGAACCGUUAUAACCGGCGAUUUCCGAAUGGGGAAACCCAGUGUGUUUCGACACACUAUCAUUAACUGAAUCCAUAGGUUAAUGAGGCGAACCGGGGGAACUGAAACAUCUAAGUACCCCGAGGAAAAGAAAUCAACCGAGAUUCCCCCAGUAGCGGCGAGCGAACGGGGAGCAGCCCAGAGCCUGAAUCAGUGUGUGUGUUAGUGGAAGCGUCUGGAAAGGCGCGCGAUACAGGGUGACAGCCCCGUACACAAAAAUGCACAUACUGUGAGCUCGAUGAGUAGGGCGGGACACGUGGUAUCCUGUCUGAAUAUGGGGGGACCAUCCUCCAAGGCUAAAUACUCCUGACUGACCGAUAGUGAACCAGUACCGUGAGGGAAAGGCGAAAAGAACCCCGGCGAGGGGAGUGAAAAAGAACCUGAAACCGUGUACGUACAAGCAGUGGGAGCCUCUUAAUGGGGUGACUGCGUACCUUUUGUAUAAUGGGUCAGCGACUUAUAUUCUGUAGCAAGGUUAACCGAAUAGGGGAGCCGAAGGGAAACCGAGUCUUAACUGGGCGUUAAGUUGCAGGGUAUAGACCCGAAACCCGGUGAUCUAGCCAUGGGCAGGUUGAAGGUUGGGUAACACUAACUGGAGGACCGAACCGACUAAUGUUGAAAAAUUAGCGGAUGACUUGUGGCUGGGGGUGAAAGGCCAAUCAAACCGGGAGAUAGCUGGUUCUCCCCGAAAGCUAUUUAGGUAGCGCCUCGUGAAUUCAUCUCCGGGGGUAGAGCACUGUUUCGGCAAGGGGGUCAUCCCGACUUACCAACCCGAUGCAAACUGCGAAUACCGGAGAAUGUUAUCACGGGAGACACACGGCGGGUGCUAACGUCCGU
rnacentral:rRNA from 1 species